rnacentral:rRNA from 1 species
UACGAAGGGGCUAGCGUUGCUCGGAAUCACUGGGCGUAAAGCGCACGUAGGCGGCUUCUUAAGUCAGGGGUGAAAUCCUGGAGCUCAACUCCAGAACUGCCUUUGAUACUGAGGAGCUUGAGUCCGGGAGAGGUGAGUGGAACUGCGAGUGUAGAGGUGAAAUUCGUAGAUAUUCGCAAGAACACCAGUGGCGAAGGCGGCUCACUGGCCCGGUACUGACGCUGAGGUGCGAAAGCGUGGGGAUCAAACAGGG